UCUCUCAACAGAAUCCAACAACACCAAAACAUAAGAAUAUUCACAAACACUUUUAUCUAUACUAAUACUUCAGAAACACCAAAAAUGAACAAGAUCAAAUCCUUACUUUUUGUUAGCACCAUCACAGUAUUUAUGUUAUUGGCCAUAACAGAACAAAGCGCGGCCGAUGCUGAUCUCUCAUGUUUUGGGCCAUGUCCUGCUGAUUGCAAACAAUUUUGCUUGUCGAAAGGUUAUGGUGACGGGUUAUGUGAAGAUUUUAGAGGCAAGCAGGAUUGUUGCUGCACACCAGCAAAAAAACAAAUCUUUGAGAAAACAACGCAAUUGAACAACUAAAUGCAUUUUUGACAUUGUCUUUAAUGUGUAUGAUCAAUAUAUUAAGAAAAUCCCAAUAUAAGAAAUAUUUUUUAAGAAA